UACGUAGGGUGCAAGCGUUGUCCGGAAUUAUUGGGCGUAAAGAGCUCGUAGGCGGUCUGUCGCGUCGGCUGUGAAAACCUGGGGCUUAACUCCGGGCCUGCAGCCGAUACGGGCAGACUAGAGUUCGGCAGGGGAGACUGGAAUUCCUGGUGUAGCGGUGAAAUGCGCAGAUAUCAGGAGGAACACCGAUGGCGAAGGCAGGUCUCUGGGCAUUAACUGACGCUGAGGAGCGAAAGCAUGGGGAGUGAACAGG
rnacentral:rRNA from 1 species